rnacentral:ncRNA from 12 species
GGAUGGAUGUCUGAGCGGUUGAAAGAGUCGGUCUUGAAAACCGAAGUAUUGAUAGGAAUACCGGGGGUUCGAAUCCCUCUCCAUCCG